rnacentral:rRNA from 1 species
CUCAACUGAGGAAAGUCCGUCGAAACUGACAGGAUAGAGGAACACAGAGGGAGGCGGAACUCUCGGAGUAGCGGUGGAAUGCGCAGAUACCGAGAGGUACCCCGAUGGCGAAGGCAGCCUCCUGGGUGUUUCCUGACGCUGAAGCGCUAAGGCCAGGGGAGCCAAGGGGAUUAGAUACCCCCGUAGUCCUGGCUGCAAACGAUGUGAGCUAGGUAUCGGGCCCAUGAAGAGGCUCGUUGCCGUAGCUAACGCGUUAAGCUCACCGCCUGGGGAUUACGUCCGCAAGGAUGAAACUCAAGGGAAUUGACGGGGGCCCACACAACCGGUGGAGCACGUGGUUUAAUUCGAUGAUAAGCGAAGAACCUUACCAGGGCUUGACAUACCGGUAGUAGAACCCCGAAAGGGUGCCGAGCCUGGCUUCGGCCAGGCAGCC